rnacentral:rRNA from 1 species
UUGAUCCUGGCUCAGAACGAACGCUGGCGGCAGGCCUAACACAUGCAAGUCGAACGAUAUAGUGGCAGACGGGUGAGUAACGCGUGGAAACGUGCCCUUCGGUACGGAAUAGCCCCGGGAAACUGGGGGUAAUACCGUAUACGCCCCUCGGGGGAAAGAUUUAUCGCCGAAGGAUCGGUCCGCGUUGGAUUAGCUAGUUGGUGGGGUAAGAGCGUACCAAGGCGACGAUCCAUAGCUGGUCUGAGAGGAUGACCAGCCACACUGGGACCGAGACACGGCCCAGACUCCUACGGGAGGCAGCAGUGGGGAAUCUUGGACAAUGGGCGCAAGCCUGAUCCAGCCAUGCCGCGUGGAUGAUGAAGGCCCUAGGGUUGUAAAAUCCUUUCGUCAGGGACGAUAAUGACGGUACCUGAAGAAGAAGCCCCGGCUAACUUCGUGCCAGCAGCCGCGGUAAUACGAAGGGGGCUAGCGUUGUUCGGAAUUACUGGGCGUAAAGCGCGCGUAGGCGGACUACUAAGCCAGGUGUGAAAUCCCGGGGCUCAACCUCGGAACUGCAUUUGGAACUGGUAGUCUAGAGUCCGGGAGAGGUGAGCGGAAUACCGAGUGUAGAGGUGAAAUUCGUAGAUAUUCGGUGGAACACCAGUGGCGAAGGCGGCUCACUGGACCGGUACUGACGCUGAGGCGCGAAAGUGUGGGGAGCAAACAGGAUUAGAUACCCUGGUAGUCCACACCGUAAACGAUGAGAGCUAGUUGUCGGCAGGCAUGCCUGUCGGUGACGCAGCUAACGCAAUAAGCUCUCCGCCUGGGGAGUACGGCCGCAAGGUUAAAACUCAAAGAAAUUGACGGGGGCCCGCACAAGCGGUGGAGCAUGUGGUUUAAUUCGAAGCAACGCGCAGAACCUUACCUACCCUUGACAUGCCCGGUUUGGGUUUCAGAGAUGAGAUCCUUCAGUUCGGCUGGCCGGUGCACAGGUGCUGCAUGGCUGUCGUCAGCUCGUGUCGUGAGAUGUUGGGUUAAGUCCCGCAACGAGCGCAACCCUCAUCCUUAGUUGCCAUCACGUCUGGGUGGGCACUCUAAGGAAACUGCCCGUGGCAAGCGGGAGGAAGGUGGGGAUGACGUCAAGUCCUCAUGGCCCUUACGGGUAGGGCUACACACGUGCUACAAUGGCAGUGACAAUGGGAUAAUCCCCAAAAACUGUCUCAGUUCGGAUUGUCGUCUGCAACUCGACGGCAUGAAGUUGGAAUCGCUAGUAAUCGUGGAUCAGCAUGCCACGGUGAUACGUUCCCGGGCCUUGUACACACCGCCCGUCACAUCAUGGGAGUUGGGUCUACCACGAAGACCGUGCGCUAACUGCGGAGGCAGCGGGCCACGGUAGGCUCAGCGACUGGGAUGAAGUCG